rnacentral:rRNA from 1 species
AAGGGCACCACCAGGAGUGGAGCCUGCGGCUUAUUUUGACUCACGCGGGAAAACUCACCCGGCCCGGACACCGUAAGGAUUGACAGAUUGAGAGCUCUUUCUUGAUUCGGUGGGUGGUGGUGCAUGGCCGUUCUUAGUUGGUGGAGCGAUUUGUCUGGUUAAUUCCGAUAACGAACGAGACUCUAGCCUGCUAAAUAGGCAGUGGAUUAUUCCUCCACUGUACUUCUUAGAGGGACAAGCAGCGUCUAGCUGCACGAGAUUGAGCAAUAACAGGUCUGUGAUGCCCUUAGAUGUUCGGGGCUGCACGCGCGCUACACUGAAGGAAUCAACAUGCUUCUCAACCUUGGCCGGAAGGUCUAGGUAACCCGUUGAAACUCCUUCGUGAUUGGGAUAGGGAAUUGCAAUUAUUUCCCUUGAACGAGGAAUUCCCAGUAAGUGCGGGUCAUCAGCUCGCGCUGAUUACGUCCCUGCCCUUUGUACACACCGCCCGUCGCUACUACCGAUUGGAGGUAGAGCAGA